rnacentral:rRNA from 1 species
GAUGAACGCUGGCGGCGUGCCUAAUACAUGCAAGUCGAGCGAACGGACGAGAAGCUUGCUUUUCUGAUGUUAGCGGCGGACGGGUGAGUAACACGUGGAUAACCUACCUAUAAGGCUGGGAUAACUUCGGGAAACCGGAGCUAAUACCGGAUAAUAUUUUGAACCGCAUGGUUCAAAAGUGAAAGACGGUCUUGCUGUCACUUAUAGAUGGAUCCGCGCUGCAUUAGCUAGUAGGUAAGGUAACGGCUUACCAAGGCAACGAUGCAUAGCCGACCUGAGAGGGUGAUCGGCCACACUGGAACUGAGACACGGUCCAGACUCUACGGGAGGCAGCAGUAGGGAAUCUUCCGCAAUGGGCGAAAGCCUGACGGAGCAACGCCGCGUGAGUGAUGAAGGUCUUCGGAUCGUAAAACUCUGUUAUUAGGGAAGAACAUAUGUGUAAGUAACUGUGCACAUCUUGACGGUACCUAAUCAGAAAGCCACGGCUAACUACGUG